rnacentral:rRNA from 1 species
UACGUAGGGGGCGAGCGUUGUCCGAAGUUACUGGGCGUAAAGCGCGCGUAGGCGGUCUCUUAAGUCUGGGGGUGAAAAGGUUCACGGCUCAACCGGAACAGUGCCUUGGAUACUGGGAGACUUGAAUCUGGCAGAGGAUAGUGGAAUUCCUGGUGUAGCGGUGAAAUGCGUAGAUAUCAGGAGGAACACCGAUGGCGAAGGCAGCUAUCUGGGCUAAGAUUGACGCUGAGGUGCGAAAGCGUGGGGAGCGAACGGG